AGCGUCUUUAAUGGCUAAAUCAGUUCAAAUCUUUCACAUAAACUAAUUGAAUCGACUGAAGUAGACACUCAAGUGUUUAAAAAGUGUCCAAAAUCUUUCAUCAAAUGAACCUGCAUUUUUAGGCCAAAAUCGGUCCUUACCCUACUCCCUUGUAAAGAGUUCUUAAUGGAACCCUGGUUCUUGCCUGUGAUUUCUCCCCGCGAAAAGUAUAUUUAUUUAUCAGUCCAUUACAGGAUUUAAACGAAUGAAAUAUUUUCUUUAGAUAUUUUUUCUUGGUCUGGAAUAUUAAUUUCUGCACAAGUUUUAUGAUAAAAUAUGGGCAUUGAGUAGUAUUAAACAAUUAAGAACGAGCAAUAGGUUCCUGAUAUCACUAAUUUGGCAAAUAGGUAAAUAGCAAGAACGCAAUAUAAAAAAGAAACUUACGGGUGUGAUCCCUCUAAUUACAGAAAGAUAGAACACCGUACAAAGGGAAGUAAUCCAAAACUUACAAGACACAGAAUUCGCAUUUAAGGAUAAUAAGAAUAAGAAUAAGAAUUUCAUUAGUCUAAAAUCCAAACAAUAGAAUUGUUACUAAAAUACAAAACAAAAACAAAAACAAACAAACAGACAGACAGACAUAUUAAUUACAAAACGAUAGACAUUAAACACUUGAGUUGAAAUAUGUAGCAUUGAAAGAAAAAAAAUAUAGAUUAUUAAUAUUAAUUAUAAUACUAUUUUUGACAGCAUGCCUC
rnacentral:lncRNA from 1 species